rnacentral:rRNA from 1 species
UCGGGAAUUUUGGGCAAUGGGCGAAAGCCUGACCCAGCAACGCCGCGUGAAGGAUGAAGUAUUUCGGUAUGUAAACUUCGAAAGAAUAGGAAGAAUAAAUGACGGUACUAUUUAUAAGGUCCGGCUAACUACGUGCCAGCAGCCGCGGUAAUACGUAGGGACCAAGCGUUGUUCGGAUUUACUGGGCGUAAAGGGCGCGUAGGCGGCAUGACAAGUCACUUGUGAAAUCUCUGGGCUUAACCCAGAACGGCCAAGUGAUACUGUCGCGCUAGAGUGCAGAAGGCGCAAUCGGAAUUCUUGGUGUAGCGGUGAAAUGCGUAGAUAUCAAGAGGAACACCUGAGGUGAAGACGGGUUGCUGGGCUGACACUGACGCUGAGGCGCGAAAGCCAGGGGAGCAAACGGGAUUAGAUACCCCCGUAGUCCCUGAGCGGGCUGGCAAGGCGCAU